CCUACGGGCGGCAGCAGUGAGGAAUAUUGGUCAAUGGGCGGAAGCCUGAACCAGCCAAGUCGCGUGCGGGAUGACGGCCCUACGGGUUGUAAACCGCUUUUGCACGGGGAUAACACCCUCCACUUGUGGAGGUCUGCAGGUACCGUGCGAAUAAGGGCCGGCUAAUUCCGUGCCAGCAGCCGCGGUAAUACGGAAGGCCCGAGCGUUAUCCGGAUUCAUUGGGCUUAAAGGGAGCGUAGGCGGGCGUUCAAGUCAGCGGUAAAAUCGCGCGGCUCAACCGCGCCCCGCAGUUGAAACUGGACGCCUUGAGUGCACAACAGGCAGGCGGAAUUCGUGGUGUAGCGGUGAAAUGCAUAGAUAUCACGAGGAACCCCGAUUGCGAAGGCAGCCUGCCGGGGUGCGACUGACGCUGAGGCUCGAAGGUGCGGGUAUCAAACAGGAUUAGAUACCCCUGUAGUC
rnacentral:rRNA from 1 species